rnacentral:rRNA from 1 species
ACAUGCGUACGUGCGCGGAAUAUAUUAAGCACGGAUCCCAUCAGAACUCCGAAGUUAAGCGUGCUUGGGCAAGAGUAGUACUAGGAUGGGUGACCUCCUGGGAGACCUCGUAUUGCAUUCC